AGCUUGCAGGGCUGGCUCGCCGGCUAAAUGCGAUGGUGAAAUGGCGGAGACGGAGAUGUAGAGACCCGGGUUGAGGGGUUCGGCUGCCGGCCAGAGAGGCGGGAAAGGCGCAAGCGAAUGCAUUUUUAUAUUUGUACACAGACGUGUGCGAUUGGAUUCCUUUGGAUCGUUUUAGAGGAUCUGCUGCCUCCCUUCCUGUGCUGAUGAGAGUCAGCCUGCCCCUGUUGUCUGGCCAGCGGUAGGUCAUCUGUCUGGGAGAGAAAGCAGGAGGAACAGGCAAGGUCCUGCUGGUUCUGCCAAUGGAUGAGGACUGUUGGGCAGAACCUGGACAGAUGACGUCUCCAGACGCUCCGCUGACCGGCCUGCAGCCCUACAGCCUUUUAGGACAGCGGCAGAUCCUGAAUUUUGCAGAAGUUGGGCGGCCUGUCCUAAGUCCUAAGGCAUGACCUCUGGAGCCUCAGGUCUUGGGGAAAUGAGAAGGGAGCUUCCAGAGCUCAUCCCCAAGGAACAAGGGCUUAGCCUGGGAGGGUGGGCUGGUUCCUUGGGACCUCGGUACCCCGACGAAGAGACCUGGAAGUGUCUCUGAUUACAAGAUUGAGGGCCAUGGUCUCCCCUUUCCUCCUGUGCUCACCAUCCUUCACCCCACUCACCUCCAGACGUGGAUUAGCAAUGUAAGGUUUAGUUAGCUCUGAUCACUAGUCCACAUUGUAUGGCUCUGGUGAUCUUACAUUGUCUUUCAGGAUGCCCAUUUCAGAAGUGCUGUUGUUGUGCUGGAAGAAUGUUGGGUGGGUUCUUUUUAGAUUCAGUCCUGCAAUGUAGCACCAUCUGUACUCAUACAACAGUAGGGGAUUAGGAAUCGGGAAACGUCUGAUUUAUAAGGUAAAUGGUGGUGCAUCCAUACCAGAUACCCAGUUUACUUUAGUUUACCUCUAGAAGCUGUAUGCUAACAUUGGUUCUUAGUUUCCCAGUUUUCUGUUUCUUCUCAGUUCAGGACCAGCUAUGUUCUUGUGGAAAGCAGAGUGUAAGAGUUUGCCACUACCUCACUGGGGCUACCAGGCUGUUAGCCUAAAAUAAAAUAAAUAAUGCCAGGAUGCAUCUAUUCUUUAGUUACAGUAGCAGCUUUGGCAGGAUUUUGCAAGAGAGACUAAUGUAAUUUCUCCAUAGAGCAGUCCCAAAGACCAUCGUAAAAUCUGAUGUGGGAAGAACAAAGCAACGUGCACAAUUGUGUGCUGUUUUAGGCCCAUGGGUGGCUUUUUCUAUUUGUAAUUACCUUAUACUGUAGUGCUAAAACCUAGCUGUAUUUCAUAUUUGACCAUUUAAACAGGAUUUUUUUUAUUGCAAAAGUUUUUGUGCUGAAAAAAGUUGGGAGGGACGUUACUAUGGAUGCAUUGUGAAGGAGUGUUUGAAAUGUCUGUGCUGUGCCCUUCCUGAACAUCCUGAGGAACAUCCCCAUUCCUGCCUGCUCCAGUCUGAUAGUAAACCUGGUGAUCCUGUUGCCUCUGAGCCCAGGCUGAAUCGUGAGGCCCAGGCGUAGUGAGCUGGAGUCAGGCAGGUGGCACUAGCUGACCGUGACUGGGAGUUUCCUAGCAAUGGUGCACAGUAGGCUGAACACAUGCCCGGGGCUGGGGUAGAAUUGGUGCAGCAGGCUUGCCACGUGACAAGGAGUAAACAGACAUUAGGGAAUAUUACCAGUUUUGCCUCCAAAUUCAGAGGGAAACCUUUCUGUGUACUUGCACACAAGUAUUAUGUUUGAGGAUUGGGGAAAUUUGUAAAAGUACCUCAAUUAGUUCCUUAGGCGACAGAUCCGCAAGGGUAGUUGCGUAUUGUUAUUCUGACUGUGGUGCUGAACCACCAUAAAGCAGGGCAAGUAUAGGUUGUGGGAUCUUCAAAUUGUUCACUGCCUUCCUGAAUUUGCUAAUAAAAGUUAGUACCCUCUGGCUAUGCGAUACAAAGGUGUAAAAAAACUACCUAGGUCUUCUUUCUUCUUGGUGAGGGGGACAAGAAUUAUUUUGGUUCCCUAGCAGAAACUUUGACUUAAUUGGAUUUCUUCUUUUUUAGAUUUUCAUUUUAUUUGAAUACACAAACUAGAGUGAAGGAAAAGAAAUGAGGAAAGCCAAAGACUGUCACGGUUGGCACUGCCACCACUCUUCUCCCAGCAGCCCUGUUUGUGUCGAGACAUCUGUGGUUCCCUGAUUUAAGCUGUGAUCUCCUGCUCUCAGGCGCGUGUGCACACACAACCCAGUGGCUAACAAAGCCCGCAGAAGUAGGCAUACAGUCCAGCCCUCCCUCACCUUCCCCUGACAUAUCCCCUAAAUAUAUGGGCAUGUGCAAUAAUGUUUUUUUUUUGUUAUAAAUAUAUAUAAUUGUGAAACAAGUGACAAGUUGUUUGAGAACAACAAAAUCACCAACGUCUUCCAUUAUAAGAUGUAUAGUUUCAUGCACAUUAGCUUAAUAGCAAAACAGUAGUGCCAUUUUAGUGGCCAUGCAUGAAGUUAGCGAUGCUUGCAAAAAUAUAUCAAUUAAAAAUUAAGCAGCUCCGCUCUGACUGAACAAGUUACUGACCAGGAUGAGGCAUCCCUUUCUUACGGCAAGCUGAGAUCAGACUUAGAGUCCGCGGCGUGUGAGUCCGAGCUGGCUUGUGCGAUUGGUUGCGACGCUGCGGUGUUCCGUCGUCUCGGAUGUGCAGCGUUCGGCUGCUCGCUCGGACAGCGGCGAAAACGACCCUGGUUUGGGGAAGGAAGUACGGAAGCCAAAGAUGUGUGAGAAUCGUCGAGGCAGAGCUGUUACUGCCAGCGGUAUUGCUCCUUCGUGAGGAAGCAGUCCGGUUCAGACUGUUGCUCUCCAGAGCCAGCGCGGUUCAAGGGUCCGGAGUGUAGCGUUCACCACUAAGGUGGCCGAGACACUUCUGGUGGGAGACUGGGGUAAACAGUCACAGUCAAAAAAGUUUAUCUGAAGCGCAGCACCCUUGAGCUGAAUUACCCCUGAAAGGGAGCUUUAGAGCCCUAAGUGUGUGGUCUGGUGAAUAGCAGAAGGCACAUGUUGUAGCUGAGAUAGAAGAGAACGGGUAACUAGCAGUAAAGACGAUGCCCAACGUUUUGCUGAAAUAAUUUUUCUUAAUUGUGCUUUUCUCUAAGUUUUUAGUCUCAGUCUGGGGUAGCGAAGGAUGCAUCAUCUGGGCUAGCAGAUUACAUUAUAUGCAAUGAACAGAUCUAGCCUUAGGUGUAUAAUACUAACACAUCAGUUUUAGUAUUAGGAAGUAGAGUAGUGCUUAGCUGAAAUAUUAUUUUUUAGUGUAAAAUAAAUACCUCAAGGUUUGGAAUUCAGAACAUCUUGUAGGAAUAUCCUGUUGUCAACAAAGCCAUAAUAUUUACUAUUAGAAUUUUAGAAGCAAUAAUCCUGUUAUGCAUGAUUUAGUACUAGAGUGGUGUUCUAGGCGUUUCUGUAGACUGGCUAGAGUAAGUUAUCAAACUAGUUGUGGUAGAAGUGCUUGUAGGCACAGAAUAAGUAUGCCUAGCUAGAGGUCUGAAUAAUCAGGUUUCUGGGAAAGUUACUUCAUUUUAUUGUUCUUUUAAAUGAGGUAAAUUUCAUACCAUAUUUAGUCAGACCUUUUACAUGCUUUGCAAAUCGAUUCAAAAUCGAUCCGUAGAUCAAAUGAAAGCAAAUGAAAUGAAAUUUGCAGAUGCAAAUGAAACUAAAUCGCAAAAUGCAAUUCUCAUUUUUAUUUUUGAUGGGUGAUAAAUGCAAAAUCAAUUAGCAGAGGCUUUAAAAGUGUCCUCUAGGUUAUGUACAGUAUUGUACUCUAUAUACAUUUCCCUUUAUUUGUAGAUGUAAUAGAGAAAAAAAAAAGAUUACUUAAAAACAGUAUGCUGUAUGUCUGAAUUGAAAUUCCUUUUUUGUGAUCUAGACAGCUUUAAAACAGUGCGGUGGAGACUGCUUUGUAUAAUGUUUUAAACAGAUGCCAAGUAAUUUAGGUUUAACUGUGUGGCUGACCAGCUUUGGACAUUAAACAACCCCUUCAAUGAGAGGCUGUGUGUCUAGGAGGUGCAAGUCAUAAGGUGACUGAUCAUCCUGGUUGGCAAAUAUAAUUGGUUCAGUAAACCAGCCAAGUAGCUGUACCAUUACCCUCAAAAGUAGGAGCCUCAAACCCACUUCUUGGAGAUACUGGUCUCUGGAAUUUGUUCCUACUGGAGUAGUUAAUUAAAUAACCUAUUUUCCAAAUUACUACAAAUUACAGUCUUCUUCAGUUGAUUACACAAGAUAUUCACUCCAGUAAAAGGUAGUUAGAUAUAAUCGGCUCAGAGUCUGGUUUGUAGUAUUACAGUUCUGUGUCUAAUUAAUAAAUAGAUCAAGUGUGUAACACAACAUGGUUGGAACAACUGUCAUAAGAUAUUAGCACUUCUGAGAAGUAAGAGAGUACUGAUAAUUAAAGAUGUUUUUGUGACAAUUCAAUUUUUCUUUUUCAUCUGACCUUGAUGUGAAGACCUGCAGUCAUUUCUGGUGUAGCACCUGUGCUAUACAGGGCUGUUUUUCACUGCAGGAUAAGCAGUAAGAUUCUCAGUACUUGCAGUUAAAAAUUGUGGUGACACCUAUGACCAUUUAAUUUUAUGGAAAAAGUUAAAUAAAGGGUUUCUUAUAUUUUUAUGCAGAUCACUUCAAGACCAUUAUAAUGGGAACUUUUGGAGAAGCUUUACCUUAAAGGAUGUAUUUGUGCUUGCUGCCACCAUAAAACAUGCAUUCAGCUAAUCUUUGAAGGGGUUUCAGAUUACCUGGGUUAAUUUUCUGAAGGGGUGUUUGGCGAGUAGUAAUUUAGGUAGCAAGGAAAACAAUCCUGUUUCUUUAUGCAUGGUUUUAUAUAUAUAUAUAAUGUAUCAGACUAGUAAAACAUAUAUGCAUCUUAAUCCAUUUGAAAGCAAUAGGAAAUAUUGUAAUAGCAAACUUUUGCUUCACUAAGGAAUCAAGUCUGACACAAAACUGUAUAUUUAUCUCUCUGCUGAUAUGAGCUCAGUAUCACACUGCACUGUGGAGUUGGGCAAGUUGCUGAAGUGUGUUGUGAUUGGUUUUGAGCUGAAGACAGAGAGCAGUUGGAAGUAGCACCUUGUGGGACUGAGGGGUAGGAUGGCAUUGCACUUCAGUCACCGGUUUUGAUGUCUUGUCUCCCAUGUCUUCAUUAUUACUAUUAAGGGGUUAAAAGAUGGGCAAGUGUUUUUUCAAUCAUCCACUAGUGUUGCACAGGGAUUCUGGUCUGUGCAUGGAAAUCGCAGUAGGGUGUGUAUAUAUAGUAAUGCAUGUAAUUAUGAGUCUAGUAGACUGUUGUGUUCAGUGUACAGGACCGAAGUGGUCAUUAUUAAUGCACUAGUCUGACAUAGAAAGAGCAUGUGUAAGUUCCUGACAUAGGAAGAGUCCACUUCACUAAGACCUUGAAUAUGAGCUAAAGACUGGCCCUGUGCAUCUGAAAGCCUAGUUCAGCAGUAAAUAUAGAUUAAGUUGUACACUAUUGCACCAAAUAACAUCUAUUCAUUUUUACCAGGGUUACUCAGUCCUUCCAGGACGGCUCAAAUGUUUUCAACCUCCCCAUCUUUGUAAGAGCAAUGCUGUUUUAACCGACAUGAGCCAGUGGGAUAAAAGGAUGUGCUGUAAGUUGAAAGAACUUAGUGGAGAGCAGACAGAAAAUAUUAAGAGGGGAGGAGGCAUUGCACAUGGCAGAACUCCCCUCCACCAAGCUUGCACAUGAGUGGGUAGUAGAGGCAAAGUAUUAACUAAUGCUGCUACCAUUGAAACCUCCACAACUGACAAAGGCAACUGACAAACCCUCUUACAAGCUGCCAUUCACAGACAUCCUUCCAGUACCAUUUAGACAGAGUACUCCCCAGAGAAGCAAAUGCACAUAACACUGAGCAGAAUGCUGUACCACGUUGCCACAAAUCUGGGUGAGUACGCCAUAUGUGAAUCGGGAACUGAUCAGCACUUGGCAUACAAAUCUGUAUUCCUAAUCCUAUUUUCACCUGCUAAAAUGAAUUAAGGAAGAUAAACUCCUUCCCUGAGCAGUUUCAACAGAAUUUCAAGAUUAGGACCCCCAUUCAGAAUGUUUGAAUGCUAUAUAUAGGAAAAUGUUUAUGCGGGGUCCUUCAUGAUGUGUAAAAUGUAGGAACUUGAUGCAAUUCCAAACUGAGUGUUACCUUGAAAUUUGUUGUCUUUUGACAGGUCUUUGAAAGGGUAGCUGUGAUUAAAUGUAACAUAUGGCAGUGUCUAAUGUACAUUUUUAAAACUGUUGCAUUUCAACAUUCCUGUACUGAAGAGGUUUGGAUUAAACUAUGCACUAUAGAAUGAAAGCAGAGAAAACUGGCUAUAACAGGCAUUUGUUGGUUUUGUAAAACUGCAAACUCUGCAUCAAAACUUCAGCAAUAAAAGCAGCAUGGUGCCAACGGCAUAAUA